rnacentral:misc_RNA from 1 species
GACAGGAACAAGACCUAGAAUAUACCAAACAGCAUGAUCAGAACUGAUUGCACAAUAAUUUUGUCACAGAAUCAGCAAGUAAAGAGACCUAAAACAGAUUGUUCAAUGAGAAAAGAAGACAAGGGAAAACAUGAGUAGUUUGCCAGUACUAAAAAAGGAAUGUAAAAACUACUAUCUAGGCACAUUUACUAUUUCCAUAUAGCUGUACUAAUAAUUUUCUUCGGACGUUAUAUCAACUGCCACAUACCAUGAAUAAACUCGCAAGCAACUGCCAACUGCUGCUUAUUCUGAAUCCUAUGAUUUUGAAAACCAAGAACAAGCUCUAUAGUUGCUCCAAGUAACUUAUUGAUGUUGAAAGCAAAAUAAUUUUUUU